AAUGAACGUUGGCGGCGUGGAUUAGGCAUGCAAGUCGAGCGGGUGUAGCAAUACACCAGCGGCGAAAGGGAGAGUAACGCGUAGUUUACGUGCCCCGAGGUCCGGAAUAGCUGCGGGAAACUGCAGGUAAUGCCGGAUAAUAUCUCCGGAUCAAAGGUGUGAUUCCGCCUUGGGAGCGGACUGCGUUGUACUAGCUAGUUGGUGGGGUAAUGGCCUACCAAGGCGACGAUGCAUACCGGGCGUGAGAGCGUGGCCCGGCUCACUGGGACUGAGACACUGCCCAGACACCUACGGGUGGCUGCAGUCGAGAAUCUUCGGCAAUGAGCGCAAGCUUGACCGAGCGACGCCGCGUGCGGGAUGAAGGCCCUCGGGUUGUAAACCGCUUUCGGUUGGGAGGAAAUCGCUAGGGGUUCUCCCCUAGUGUUGACCUAUCUUCGGAAGAAGGACGGGCUAAGUUCGUGCCAGCAGCCGCCGUAAUAC
rnacentral:rRNA from 1 species